UAGAAAGCUAGCAAGGUGUUUAUCUCAUUCUCACAUGCAGAAAUCCAGACGCGAUAUGCAAAUAUCAUACAUGCUACCUUUCGCCUUGGCUUAGUUUUGAGGCUGUCAUAGCGGUAAAUUAGUGUGGAUAUCAAUAUUGUGUUCUGCUUUGCUCAUUAGGCAAACAUUUUAUUAGAAUGUAUUGAAGUUGAACGGGGCUCUGUUUAUAUUAGUUGUGUUAGUGUAGUGCUGACUAUUUUAGAUGUGACAUUUAAAAUGAGAUGAUUACCAGGGUCUCAUUUUCCUUUCACUAAGUCCUGUCUGGCUCAGUUGGUAGAGCAUGGUGCUUGCAACUCCAGGUUUGUGGGUUCGAUUCCCAUGGGGGAUCAAUACAGAGGAGGGGAAAAAAGUAUGAAAUGUUUGCUAAGUGAUGAAAAUGUAAGUGGACUAAGGAUGCUGAAGGAGGUGAGUGAUUGCCAGAAUUUCAGUUUACAGAAACCCUAAUAGUGAGCCAAAUGUAACUUUGUUUAAUGUCUUUCAAGUUGUCAAGAAACCUAUCCUGCCUACCAUGGACGUAAAAGUUUACGAUGAAUCUGACAUCGAUGAAGAAGUGUUCCAAUAUCAUCUUCAGAGACCAGACAGUGCUAAAAAUGUGUUUACCCAAUGAAACGAGUUCUGUGGGUGAGUUAUUUGUCUACAGUACAGAAAUGUGAUCAAUUAUUUGUUCAUACAAUCCCAGCUAGCACAAAUGAUAUGGCACAUCCGACCUGAGUUCAGCAGGCCGGAUCUAAUCCUGCUGGCCCAGUUCUAGCACCCGGAUCCAGAUGGAGGUCUGGUGUUUUCAGGGAUGAUACAGUAAAGGGGGGGGACCGUCCCCCAAAGCCUGCGGGGGCACCGCUGAGACAUUUAAAUGCCAAACACGCUUUUGGGAGGGGGGAGUUUGCCAGGGGUCCAAGGUUUGGAGGGAUGGAGUCACACAUUCUGUGGCCUGUCACAGAUCACAUCAGGCCCCAUUAAUUGUAUAAGGGUACAUUUUAUCUCAACAUCCAAUAUAGAAUUGUAGGUUAAUGAUUUAUUAACAUAUUAUUUGGGCCUGCCAUUUAAAGCAUGCUAAAUGGGGUUCAGUGUAUGACUAACAAUCAAAUGUAAAGACACAGAUAUGCUAUUUGGCUGUAUUACCCCAGUAGCAUUGUUGAGAACAGAGCAUUCACUUAUUCAUGUAAUCGGCAGAUUCUGUUAACUCUUUUGCAAGCUGCCCCGUGAAUGUUGGUGGUUCAUCAGACUCUCACGCUGUUACCCAGAAACAGUCUUGCACAGCAUUUUCUAAUCACUUUUCAAGUUGCAAAGCUGUCUUAUCAUAGCACUGCUGCUGUUUACAUACUCUAAUUUUGAAUUGAAGAUGACAUCAAUCAAGCUUUGUGUAUGUGAAGGUGACUGAGGAGCAUUAAACAUUACACAGUCCCUGCAACUGUUAAACUUUUCUUCCAGAUUCUAACAUGCACCAGUGACAAAUUUGCUUCAGGUGAACAAAAGGUUUGUUUAUUUUUUUGUCUGUGUAUAUAAAGGCCCACUAUUGCAAUGCAGAAGACGGGAGUGGCUUCUUGGCAUGGAGACACCUGCAAAAAGAGGCUGCAGAGGGAAGAAUACAGUCACCUUGUAUAUCACUAACAGUGGACCAGCUGUUGAAAGAGAGCCCUUCACCGACGAAAACUGGCUGAGUGAAGAAGGGCAGUGACGAGAGGCCAUCACACUGAUGAAACACAUGUAUGAUGAAGCAACCGUAAAAGAAAAGAUGAAGCUGACCUUUGCCUACUGCCAAAAUAUUGUCCAUGACCCACAGAACUCCUCUGACAUACUCAGUGUUUCCGUGGUUCCUGGCCAUACUAGGCAUGAUUGAGCAAGAUUUAGCACUGAUGUUUGGUGAAGCAAUUUCCGCAAAAUUCCUGGGGAAAUGGCCUACUGUCUUCAAACUGCAGGGUCAUGGACUCACACCAACAACCGAGCUUCAGGACCUGAUACACAGCUGAGGUGGAAAAUGGUACAGUCAUACCACUUUAUACUGUAAUAUGAAGUUCUAGGAUGAGCAUGUGGGAGGCAGACAUGUUAUGAAAGUUUUCUGUCAGAAUUAAAAUGUGUGUUUCUAGGCUGGGAGAGUGACAAGUCGUUCAUUCUUCUCCUCGUCCAUCUUCUGCCUCCCUCCGCUCAAUGCCGCAACAAGCUUGGAAAAAUUAACAUCUUGUGAAACAGCUGAACAUCUUAUGAAGUUCCUAAGGGUCAGGCUACAUUUCAACACAAAUGUGUUAUUGAUCCCCCUCUUGCCCUUCACCCCUCAAGUGUAUAAACACUUACCCCAACAAAGAGCACUAUCAUCAGCUCUACUGCUAUAAUACCUCUUACUAGUUGCACUAUAACUUUAGCAGUAUAAAACUGUAAUACAUAUCAGAAUCACUACUAUCUGGUUUGUGAGACUUUUAGUAGAUGUUGUGAGAAUUAAUAGUGGAUGUCCUAAUGAUAUAUUAUUGUCUUAUCGGCCGCAACCAGCAGCAUCUUGAUGGCAUCGCUGGAAAUCAACAGCCCUAUCUGCUUGCUGUGGGGACCCAGAGAACGAGCAUUCAUGCCUACUUCAUCAUGAUUGACAAACAUGCGGCCCCGUGUAAGACAUCUGGCUCACUGGGCUGUUUUUGAUGAGCUUUCAAAGCUCACUUUGUCUGUGGUAUCUCAUACAGUCAGGGUCUGGCAAACGGGUACACUUUUCUACAAACAACAAUCUACGACACUGACAUUGAUACAACUAAGGCGAAUAUGAGGGUAGCAGAGCUGAGGGCCAGAAUGUUGCAUUUAACCUCUGUUUGAGACACAGAAAUGUUUUGUUUUGCUUGCAAAUGCCACCAGGCAAAUGCCAAUAGCCUUGGAAAACAUAUGAAGUGAAUCCAAUGUCUUUGUCUAAGGAAAUCUCUGUGUUUGAAGUGUGGUCAGGUUGGUUGUUCACAUGUAUUUGGCACUUUUUCUGGAUGUAGAAAGCAUCUUAACAGGGCAUAUGAAGAGCGUACCGAAGCAGUUUCUGAUAAUGAUGGCGAAGGCUCCUCUACAGCUGCUAACAGUUUUGCAGCAAACGGUGUUGGUGAUAUGCCAGCACCAAGCUCACAUUGUGAAUCAGCUCUGUAUAAUAAGAGUGUGGUGGAUAAUGGUGCCACAACAAUAGCUCAACUCAAAACAGCAGGAGUUGGUGAAACAACAGUGAAGACUUUAGUCAGUUCCAUGGGAAAGAUAGUUGAUGAUAUCCACAGUCAAGCUACAGAGUCAGUGAAUACGUUUCUGACUUUACAGGAAACGGGCAACAAUGAUAUUGGGUGUAAAAUAAAUCAGUGUUUUGGGCAAAUAGAAAAUCCUUUCAAUGUAUUGAAUUCUGAAACCAAAAGGUUUAAAUAUUUCUGAAGAGAAGUGGGGGACUGUAGAUCCAGGUGAAUAUGUUCUUGGCACAAGAUUUGAGACGCGACGCAAUAGAACCACUGGAACAUAUGACCAGGUUAUUGUUAAAGAUAAAUGAAUGUGCAAACCCAUUUUCCAGACGUUAAGUCUAUUUACAAAAAAUGCUGACAAACAAAAAUUUGCAGCCUGUGGAUGGUCCCGAAGAAAGUCUACUUUAUGACUUUCGUGGUGGAUUUUUCUUUAAGAAUCAUGCUCUAUUCUCAAAAGGGAAACAUGCAAUACAAAUUCAACCCUUCUAUGAAGUCUUUGAAACCGCAAAUCCUCUUGGAUUGAAGCGUGGCAUACAUAAAUUGGGUGCCCUUCACUUUAAGAAAUGUCUCUCCAAAGUUGAAUUCCUCUGCUCAAUAUUCACCUGGUUUCUCUAUUUCAUACUCAAUAUACACUGCUCAAAAAAAUAAAGGGAACACUUAAACAACACAAUGUACCUCCAAGUCAAUUUGUGGCCUGCUGGAGGUCAUUUUGCAGGGCUCUGGCAGUGCUCCUCCUUGCACAAAGGCGGAGGUAGCGGUCCUGCUGCUGGGUUGUUGCCCUCCUACGGCCUCCUCCACAUCUCCUGAUGUACUCGCCUGUCUCCUGGUAGCGCCUCCAUGCUCUGGACACUACGCUGACAGACACAGCAAACCUUCUUGCCACAGCUCGCAUUGAUGUGCCAUCCUGGAUGAGCUGCACUACCUGAGCCACUUGUGUGGGUUGUAGACUCCGUCUCAUGCUACCACUAGAGUGAAAGCACCGCCAGCAUUCAAAAGUGACCAAAACAUCAGCCAGGAAGCAUAGGAAUUAAUUUUGUGGAAUCUUUUAGUGCAAGACAUAGCUGCAAAAGUUACUUGAGGGUUUCUGUCUUGCUGAGAAAGAGGACUUUCAGACAGAGUUUAGUGAAGACAGUUCCAAGAUAGUGUUGCGAACUAAAGAGAUGCAUGUGACAUGCUAAUUCAGAGAUUCCACUAUGGUUAUAUGGAAAGAAACAAGUUACUUGAGGGUUCCAAUGAUUUGGACUAAAUGCCAUUCAGUCUUGUUUUCUACUGCGCAAUCUAUUUGAAGCGCUUGAUUGCAGAAAACCACAGAUGUUUAAGCAUUUGUUUCCUGGAAAAAGGUUGUUACCAAAGCAAUUUUAUGGUGCAUUAUCCGUGAUCUAUUCAGAAAAUCAGGCUGAUUCUCCAUAGCUGGUGUAUGUGCUGCGAAGCAAAACACAAUCAAGAAAUAUAUAAAUACAAUGAAAAGCUUUAAAAACAUAACUAAAACAUUGGCAGAGAAACACCAAAGUGGCAUGACAUACAACUGCCAAACAUUUGACCUAGGUAGAUUGGAUAUUGGUCCAGGGACAAUGGUGUCCUUAAAUGUAAUGGAAGGAGCUCAUUAGCUGGCAAAUGCACUCUGGGUGCCAUCUCCCAUCUCAGAGUGGGUUUGAGUGUAAAAUGGGCCAAACAUCAAGGGAAUGUAUACCGUUCAAAUUUGGUUGUGUGCACUAAAGUUCAUUGUGAGAUGUAUUUCACACCAGCAGUAUGUUGUCAUCUUUGCUUUAAACACACUGUUUCUUUGUGAACGCUUUAAUGUGUUUAAAGUUGUACAGACAGGAAAGGGACCCCAUGUUGUUGACGUUAAAGAUCUUUUGUAUCACAAAGCAUUCGACAUGCAGAUGUCCUGUGGUGGUGAUGAUUCAAGUUAGUUUGUGGUCCCCGUACUGCUUGAUGUGAUUUCAUUUCCACGCUUGUACACAGUAUCAGAACAAUUAAGACAUUUGCCCACGGAGACACGGGGGUGUGGCUUUCAAUUCAUACUGUCCCUAUUGCUAUAAUUUAUUUCAAAGAUUGUACACCACUGUUUGGGUUGUUUUGGGCAUCUCAAGUAAUAAACAAAUGCUGUUUUGCAA